rnacentral:lncRNA from 1 species
GUGUUCCCUUGGCUCAGAGCCUUGCUUAGGUAAUGUAGAAGGACCCAGGGUACACAGGGUGGGUGGCUAUUCUCCAGAAAUGUCAGUUUCUGGGCAGGGCUUAGGUGUCUGCAGUCCCUAGUCCCACCCCUGGCCUUGCAUUCCAGCUCAGCGGGUGGAAGGUAUAAAUUUCAGCUGCUCUCAGCCCUGCUGUGUUUUUCCAAAGCCUUCCAACAGCAACAUGAAGUUGGCAGCCUUCCUCCUCCUUGUGAUCCUCAUCAUCUUCAGCCUAGAGGUACAAGAGCUUCAGGCUGCAGGAGACCGGCUUUUGGGUACCUGCGUCGAGCUCUGCACAGGUGACUGGGACUGCAACCCGGGAGACCACUGUGUCAGCAAUGGGUGUGGCCAUGAGUGUGUUGCAGGAUGAAGAGUUAUCUUAAGGAUCAUCUUUCUCUAAGAUCGUCAUCCCUUCCUGGAGUUCCUAUCUUCCAAGAUGUGACUGUCUGGAGUUCCUUGACUAGGAAGAUGGAUGAAAACAGCGAGCCUGUGGAUGGAGACUACAGGGGAUAUGGGAGGCAGGGAAGAGGGGUUGUUUCUUUUAAUAAAUCAUCAUUGUUAAAAGCACUCAUACUAUUUGAGUUAUUUGGUUAAAGGUGAGGAGGAGGGGGAGGAGGACAGAUGACAUCUGUUGCGUACUGACUAUCAACAAGGACCAUGUUAAAUUCUCCCCAGGCAUUAUCUAAG